rnacentral:rRNA from 1 species
AGCGAACGCUGGCGGCAGGCCUAACACAUGCAAGUCGAACGAACUCUUCGGAGUUAGUGGCGGACGGGUGAGUAACACGUGGGAACGUGCCUUUUGGUUCGGAAUAACUCAGGGAAACUUGUGCUAAUACCGAAUGUGCCCUUCGGGGGAAAGAUUUAUCGCCAUUAGAGCGGCCCGCGUCUGAUUAGCUAGUUGGUGAGGUAACGGCUCACCAAGGCGACGAUCAGUAGCUGGUCUGAGAGGAUGACCAGCCACACUGGGACUGAGACACGGCCCAGACUCCUACGGGAGGCAGCAGUGGGGAAUCUUGCGCAAUGGGCGAAAGCCUGACGCAGCCAUGCCGCGUGAAUGAUGAAGGUCUUAGGAUUGUAAAAUUCUCUCACCGGGGACGAUAAUGACGGUACCCGGAGAAGAAGCCCCGGCUAACUUCGUG